ACCUGGCUGGCCCAUUUGGUAGAGCAUGUGACUCUUGAUCUCAGGGUUGUGGGUUCAACCUCCAUGGUGGGUG
rnacentral:tRNA from 1 species